rnacentral:tRNA from 1 species
GCGGGGAUCACUCCCAUAAGCGCUAACUUAAGGGUUGUGGUAUUACGCCUGAUAUGAUUUAACGUGGAGCACGACCUUGCCAAGGUCGGGGUCGCGAGUUCGAGUCUCGUUUCCCGCUCCA